AAAAAAAAAAAAUCCCUAAGUUCUCAGUAAUCAAGCAAGAGGAAGACCAACUCUCUCUUCUACUUUAUCCAGAUUACUAGAUUAGCCUGGACCAUAGACACUCAGAGAAGGUGAAGCCUCUACGGAGCCAGUGUCGAAGCCUUUGACCAUUUUCCUGCAGGGGAAAACUCUCUCAUGCUGUUUUGAAAAAA